AAGUCGUAACAAGGUUUCCGUAGGUGAACCUGCGGAAGGAUCAUUACCGUGGGGAUUCGUCCCAUUGAGAUAGCACCCUUUGUUCAUGAGUACCCUUGUUUCCUCGGCGGGCCUGCCCGCCAGUAGGGCAAUAUCAAAACCCUUUUGCAGUAGUAGUAACUUCAGUUAAUAAACAAAUAUUAAAA
rnacentral:misc_RNA from 1 species